rnacentral:rRNA from 1 species
UACGGAGGGGGCAAGCGUUAUCCGGAUUCACUGAGUUUAAAGGGUGCGUAGGCGGGCAGGUAAGUCAGUGGUGAAAUCUCCGAGCUUAACUCGGAAACUGCCAUUGAUACUAUUUGUCUUGAAUAUUGUGGAGGUAAGCGGAAUAUGUCAUGUAGCGGUGAAAUGCUUAGAUAUGACAUAGAACACCAAUUGCGAAGGCAGCUUACUACACAAUGAUUGACGCUGAGGCACGAAAGCGUGGGGAUCAAACAGG